rnacentral:rRNA from 1 species
GGCGAGUGAAGCGGCAACAGCUCAAAUUUGAAAUCUGGCUCCUUUCGGGGUCCGAGUUGUAAUUUGUAGAGGAUGCUUUGGGCACGGCCACGGUCUAAGUUCUCUGGAACGAGACGUCAUAGAGGGUGAGAAUCCCGUCUGGGACCGCCGGCCACGCCCGUGUAAAGCUCCUUCGACGAGUCGAGUUGUUUGGGAAUGCAGCUCAAAAUGGGUGGUAAAUUUCAUCUAAAGCUAAAUAUUGGCCAGAGACCGAUAGCGCACAAGUAGAGUGAUCGAAAGAUGAAAAGCACUUUGAAAAGAGAGUUAAACAGCAUGUGAAAUUGUUGAAAGGGAAGCGCUUGCGACCAGACUCACCCGUGGCGGCUCACCCGGCGUUUUCGCCGGGGCACUCCACCGCGGUUGGGCCAGCAUCGGUUUGGGCGGUCGGUCAAAGGCCUCUGGAAUGUAUCAUCCCCCGGGAUGCCUUAUAGCCAGAGGUGCAAUGCGGCCUGCCUGGAUCGAGGAACGCGCUUCGGCACGGAUGCUGGCGUAAUGGUCGUAAGCGACCCGUCUUGAAACACGGACCAAGGAGUCAACCAACUAUGCGAGUGUUUGGGUGUCAAACCCCGGCGCGGAAUGAAAGUGAACGGAGGUGGGAACCCCUUGGGGUGCACCAUCGACCGAUCCUGAUGUCUUCGGAUGGAUUUGAGUAAGAGCAUAGCUGGUUGGACCCGAAAGAUGGUGAACUAUGCCUGAAUAGGGUGAAGCCAGAGGAAACUCUGGUGGAGGCUCGCAGCGGUUCUGACGUGCAAAUCGAUCGUCAAAUUUGGGUAUAGGGGCGAAAGACUAAUCGAACCAUUGACCGAUGCCCCCUCCAUCACGGCGGUGGGGGGGGGACUACCAGGUGGUUAAUAGGCCGCGCAACGGGCGAGCCUAGUCCUGCUCUCCAGGGCGACACUGUCAAAUUGCGGGGACCUCCUAAGGAGGCUGCUACCAAGCCGGCGCCGAAAGGCGUCGGUGGCCGGGGUAAUGACCUAGGGUACGGUAACAACGCAGCCGCUGAUCCCCCCUCCCGGGGGUGAAAUGGACGAUCCGCAGCCAAGUCCUACGGCCGUGAGGCUAGGGAUGCAGUUCACAGACUAAAUGGCAGUGGGUUCCGGGGGCCGCCCUCCUUCUGGGGGGGGCGGGCCUCGGGGCUUCAGAUAUAGUCGAGCCGCCCAGAGAUGGGUCCUGUAGGAGGAAGUCGACGCCGGGCGAGAGCGAUCCCCUCGGGGGCCGUCGGCGGCGACUGGAGCCUAUAGGGGGCGGGGUGACCCGCCCGGAGUUCCAGCUGGUAGCUGGUUCCUGCCGAAGUUUCCCUCAGGAUAGCAGUAACGUUUUCAGUUUUAUGAGGUAAAGCGAAUGAUUAGAGGCCUUGGGGUUGAAACAACCUUAACCUAUUCUCAAACUUUAAAUAUGUAAGAAGUCCUUGUUACUUAGUUGAACGUGGACAUUGGAAUGUAUCGUUACUAGUGGGCCAUUUUUGGUAAGCAGAACUGGCGAUGCGGGAUGAACCGAACGCGAGGUUAAGGUGCCGGAAUGUACGCUCAUCAGACACCACAAAAGGUGUUAGUUCAUCUAGACAGCCCGACGGUGGCCAUGGAAGUCGGAAUCCGCUAAGGAGUGUGUAACAACUCACGGGCCGAAUGAACUAGCCCUGAAAAUGGAUGGCGCUCAAGCGUACUACCCAUACCUCGCCGUCAGGGUAGAAAUGAUGCCCUGACGAGUAGGCAGGCGUGGAGGUCCGUGA